ensembl:lncRNA
CAGUAUCAUGGCGGAAACUGAAAACUUGGAGCUGUUGUGGCAGAGCAUUGCUGCUCCUCUCCCUGGCAGCCCUCCUCAGUAACUCGACACAGCUAAGCUGGAGGCGGCUGCAAUUCGAAGUGCUGGAAUGAAAGAAACAAAAUGUACUAGCACCACAACCUGUCAGCUGAGAGGCCAGCACUGCAUUCUUUGUAGUUCAACCAAGAACUCCAGACCACAACUUGGCCGUUCCUGAAGCAAUCUAUAACAAUAUCGUCACGUAGCUGGGCUGCAGCAGCAUAUUUCCCCACGAAGUAGUGAAACUUCACUUCUACUGUCCUCUGACCAUACCCUACCCUGGAGCCACAUUACCUUGCAUUCUUCAGAUAGGACUGCAGCUUCUACGUUUUUUCCACUGCGUAAACGCCAGUACAGCCAACAGAAGGCAGCUGAUUUUGGCCAUGGCCAUUUUGGCUUUUCCAGGCGCACUUCCUUAACCCUUUCAACAACACGAUAUUUCUCUUUUGCUCUGCUUUUCCCAGCUUUAACCUCUGUUUCUUCCACAUGAUGGGCACUGAAUUAUUGACAUCCAUGGCCUUUUUUGCACUCACCCUUCUUCUCAUAGUUGAUGCCUAUGCCAGUCAUGCCUAAACCUAAAACAAACAGGCAAAAAAACCAAAACAAACAAACAAACAAACAAAAAUACAAACCCAAAUCCUCUCAUACAGCUUUCCUGGAAAAAAAAAACCAUCUCAUAAAGAUGCAAGUAGUCUUUUAAUUUGUGUGGCCCAUAAAGGAUAUACAAUUUUCUUCUCUGGUAAACACUGUAAAGACAUCUUAACAGCUAGCCAGGUGAGCUGUAAUGUCAUCUGCAUAAUUGUCCUCAGAUGAGUUGCUGCACUUCCCUUCCAUUGCUCAGCUCCUCCAGGGAUUCAUGGCUGCAGAAAUAGCCUUUGCUAUUGUACUGGUAUGUCUGCAAAUCCUUAAGUUUUUAAAUCUUUCUUUCUGCUGCUGGCACAUUCAGCUUGGUUAACACUCGUACACCCAGCAGUUGCGACGGACCUUGCAUAUAUGUUAUUAAUAAGUGGUGCAGUAAGACAAACCCGAGUGAUUAAUGUGACAAAGAAGUGGCAUCUGCUUAAUAUUCUGCGGGUCAGUUUAUCUUUGGGUAGAAAAGGCAAGGUUGUCAGAACUAAACCUGCUGGGUUAAGUGUUUUUAUUUUAAAUACCGGCAGAUUAGGGAACGUUGCUGGUCCCCGCUUCUGAUGUUUGGGAAAUUCUCCUUCAGAGAGAAAACAGCCAACUGUGCCUGGCAUUGCCUGCAAGAGGAACUCUUCCUGUUCGAGGCUGAGGCGCACCGGCACAGCUGGCACAAGUACAAAUGCAAGGAUGCACUAAGGACCAGAAGGACACUUCGGUCCGGUUUUGUGGCUGCCGUUCUGGUUUUAGCGCCGCAGUUUCUUCUGCUCCUAACAGCCCGACAGACCCUUCGCCGGCAGCCGAACGUAGUUCUCCGAAACGGUCCCCAACCUUCCCGAAAACCCGCGCCCCGCAUCACCGCUCCGCUUCGAGCCGCACAAAGGCGGUAACAAAGCCCAACCCGGUUAAUUAGGUCAGAGCCGCGUCGGCUGCGGGCGCGACCACCGCGGCCCUCCCGCAGCCGAAGCUCUGAGCCCCCGC